GGAGAGGUGCCGGAGUGGUUGAACGGGCUCGUCUCGAAAAUGAGAAUGGUCGCAAGGCCAUCGAGGGUUCGAAUCCCUCCCUCUCCGCAA
rnacentral:tRNA from 1 species